rnacentral:misc_RNA from 1 species
AGUUUGAUUACUUAUCCAGUAUUGGUAGUCUUUACCACUAUACCCCAAGAAGUCAGGUGUGUGGUACAAGGAACACAGUGACGAUAUGCCCAAGGGAGAGCUUCAAGAUCCGGCGGAACCGUUAAGAAUAUUCAAGAAGAGUAGCUUAAAUGGAAGAGUGACGGUGUUCCUUGGUAAGCGGGACUUCCUGGAUUACCUGACCCACGUUGAUCCGAUAGACGGUGUGGUUUUGGUUGAUCCGGAAUGUGUAAAGGAUUCGAAGAAAAUUUACGUGCAAGUCCUUGGAGCUUUCAGAUAUGGAAGAGAAGAUCUGGAUAUCAUAGGGUUGUCCUUCCGGAAGGACUUAUUUAGCGCCACGAUUCAAGCUUACCCACCAGUUGUUGAACAACAAAAACCCUUGACACCACUGCAAGAAAAACUAUUAGGAGUCCUUGGACCCAACGCGUAUCCUUUCUUCUUUGAGAUUCCUCCCAACACCCCAAGUUCCGUCACUCUACAGCAAUCCCCAGGGGAAGAUGGCAAGCCCUGUGGUGUUGACUAUCAACUUAAGACACAUCUUGCUGAGAGUCUGGAUGACAAACCAGAGAAAUUGACUACGGUGAGAAUGGCUUUACGUAAGCUGACGUAUGCCCCAAGUGACGAAAGAGUUCCUCCGCCCAGUGCAGAGAUAAAUAAAAACGGAAUCAAGCUGGAUGCCUCGCUAGGAAAGGAGAAAUACUACCACGGGGAAAGCGUGGCUGUCCAUAUUUCUAUAGACAAUGCCUCCAACAAGACCAUUAAGAAGAUUAAACUCAAUAUUGUACAGAAAACAAUGGUCACACUGCACGUGCUUUGUGAAGAAGAACAGGAGAUAAAAGUCCCGGAUCUGAACAGUCAAGAGGGAUUCCCAAUAAGAGCCGGACAGACGGGGUUCGCUAAGACCUACCACCUGAUGCCGUUACUGGAGAAUAACCGUGACAAACGAGGCAUAGCUCUGGACGGGAAACUUAAGCAUGAGGAUACAAAUCUGGCAUGUUCAACAAAGAUGUCCAAUUGUCUUCAAAAGGAAAACGCUGGGAUCAUUGUGUCUUACAAGGUGGUUAUCAAGCUAGUGCUUGGAUUCGGAAGCAAUGACGUCAUUUUAGAACUUCCGUUUACUCUGACACAUCCGAUGCCAGACAGUCCCUCUACCAGAACAAACAGCUAUCGAAGUUCUGUAGCUGACGAUCCCAUUAUUCCUAGGUAAUGGUUUCCAAAUUCUGGAUAAAAACAUACAUAUACAUGUAUUAUCAAUUAACUUACUUUAAAGGAGACGUUUAUGCAUGUGAAACCGCUGAAAAAAUCAUUUUAGCGUUAAAGAUGACGGUCGAAAUUCCAACAACUCAAUCGUCUCUCAUCCGACAAGGCGACUUGUACUUGAUUUUUUUCUCAAUAACUAUUAUCAUAAUAGUACCUAUAUAUUUUUCAGUGAAGACAUAAUCGAUGAUGACUUGGUAUUUCAAGAGUUUAACAGAGCGCCUAUUGCUGAGCCCGAGAGCUUUAAGGACCCCAUACCCGGGGAAAACAACGACAAGUGAUAUAUAAAAAUUAAACAAAAUAUACACUCUAUAUCCCCUCACACUGGCCUAUUGUCUUUCUGUUGUGACACGGUAUUUUGAUUUACUUAUUGUAUGAUUUUUUUUCAUGUCUUUCCUGUGUAUUUGUUAAUAUGUUUAUAAACAACCUGAGUCACCUGAUAUACUUACAUUUAUAAAUAAAUUUGAUGCCUAUUACUAUUUCCAUUUCUAUUUUAUUGUGUCUGGAUUUUUUACAGAUUCGAUACAGAAUAUUUAAAGUAAAAAAUAAAAAUAAAACAAAUUGCAGAACUUUUAUAUUGGUCCUGUGAAUAACCAGCAUUUGUAUAUAUCUUAUUUGAAGGAUAGAAGAAUAUCGGUUAUUUCUCAACUUUGUGUUAUAUGUCAAUGUGAUGUUACUGACAAUUAUAAAAUAAUGAACAUUAAAAAAAAUACAACUG